CCUUUGUUGUCCUUUAUGUUCCCCAGGCUCUGCAUGCAGUGACCUCUGCCCACCUAUCACUAAGGAUGGUGACGGACAGAUGGACUUGUGCCCCAUGUUAUCUUGGCCUCAGGGUCUUUCUCUGCUGACUGGGCUCUCCCUCAGUCCUUCCUGGUACUGCAGGAACCCCCUGGGGCUUGGAGGCCAAGGCUGCCCAGAGGUCCUUGGCUAUUUGGUGACCUUCCCACCCUUUUCCACAUUACCAUUCCCCUCUCUACUCACUCCCUGGCAAGCAUCAUCAGGUACCUUCCCUUUCUCCACAGGGCAGGUGGGGCUGCUUCUGCCACAGAAGUUGAGGGAUGCCUGAGAAUGAUAACCAAAGCUCUUUCUUCCUCACCACAGUGCGCUGCCAUUUUUACUCAGUGCAGCACACCAUGUUGCUAAAGGGGCAUCAAGCCCAGCAGUCUCAUCUGAAUUCCAAAUAGAAACUGGGGCACACACAAAACCCAUGUCCUUUGAUUUCUUCCAACCUAAUCCUCCAACCUACCUGGUAGGUGGGAAACCAUGACACACAGAUGUUACGAAUCAGUGUGACCUGCCUGCCUUCAGCUUCUCUUUGUCCUUCUACUCUCUUCUGGGCUAGAAAGGUCCAGAUUUCCAUUUCCCAUUCUCCCUGGAAAAGACAUUUUCUUUGUCAUAUGUUCUUUCUUGAUAGAGGAGUGCUAUGGUUUGAGUGUAUCCCCCAAGGUUCAUGUGUUGAAACUUAAUCCCCAAUGCAACAGUGUUGAGAGGUGGGACCUUUAAGAGGUGAUUAAGUCAGGAGGGAUCUGCCCUCUUGAAUGGCUUAAUGCUGUUAUUGUGGGAGUGAGUUCCUGAUAAAAGGAUGAAUUUGGCCCCAUUCUGUUCCCCCUCUCUCUCCUGUGCUCUUGCCAUGUAAUGCCUUCUGCCAUGUUAUGACACAGGAAGAAGACCCUCACCAGAUAUGACCCCUCAAUCUUUUUUUUUUUUUCUUUCUC
rnacentral:lncRNA from 10 species